rnacentral:tRNA from 1 species
GACCGCGUAGCUCAGUUGGAAGAGCAUUGGGCUAGUAUCCAAAGGUCGUAGGUUGGAAUCCCACCGUGGCCG